GAACGCUGGCGGCAGGCCUAACACAUGCAAGUCGAGCGGAUGAAGGGAGCUUGCUCCUGGAUUCAGCGGCGGACGGGUGAGUAAUGCCUAGGAAUCUGCCUGGUAGUGGGGGAUAACGUCCGGAAACGGGCGCUAAUACCGCAUACGUCCUGAGGGAGAAAGUGGGGGAUCUUCGGACCUCACGCUAUCAGAUGAGCCUAGGUCGGAUUAGCUAGUUGGUGGGGUAAAGGCCUACCAAGGCGACGAUCCGUAACUGGUCUGAGAGGAUGAUCAGUCACACUGGAACUGAGACACGGUCCAGACUCCUACGGGAGGCAGCAGUGGGGAAUAUUGGACAAUGGGCGAAAGCCUGAUCCAGCCAUGCCGCGUGUGUGAAGAAGGUCUUCGGAUUGUAAAGCACUUUAAGUUGGGAGGAAGGGCAGUAAGUUAAUACCUUGCUGUUUUGACGUUACCAACAGAAUAAGCACCGGCUAACUUCGUGCCAGCAGCCGCGGUAAUACGAAGGGUGCAAGCGUUAAUCGGAAUUACUGGGCGUAAAGCGCGCGUAGGUGGUUCAGCAAGUUGGAUGUGAAAUCCCCGGGCUCAACCUGGGAACUGCAUCCAAAACUACUGAGCUAGAGUACGGUAGAGGGUGGUGGAAUUUCCUGUGUAGCGGUGAAAUGCGUAGAUAUAGGAAGGAACACCAGUGGCGAAGGCGACCACCUGGACUGAUACUGACACUGAGGUGCGAAAGCGUGGGGAGCAAACAGGAUUAGAUACCCUGGUAGUCCACGCCGUAAACGAUGUCGACUAGCCGUUGGGAUCCUUGAGAUCUUAGUGGCGCAGCUAACGCGAUAAGUCGACCGCCUGGGGAGUACGGCCGCAAGGUUAAAACUCAAAUGAAUUGACGGGGGCCCGCACAAGC
rnacentral:rRNA from 1 species